rnacentral:lncRNA from 1 species
AAAGCAGCCAGCCUCUUGGGUCAUGUAGUGACUCUCAAUAGGUGAUGGGGGGUGGGGAAGACAGCUUCGGAAGCCCACCUGGCAAAAAAUCCACACUGGGGGCGAGAGAUAAACCGGCACAUUCCCCAGACUGACCCACUAGGCUUCUUUCAUAACUUACUGGCAAUGAGCUGAGGAAGCUGUGAGUCUGGGAGUUAUUGAUUUUCUCUCAUCAUCAAAAUUCCUGCUUUUGGUGAGGGAACCAAUGCCAAGUAAGCACAGAACCUGUCUUCUCUCUGGACCAGAGCAGCUCAUGCCCCUUCAGGAACUCAGAGUCCAGGGCCCAGCAGAAACGACUGACCACUCGUUAGGCCUAGAAUAAACACCAAUCAUCUACAUUAGAAGCUGAAAGAAAAACAGGCCUGGUGCAGUGGCAGAGUGAGAGCUCAGCGGCAGUGGGCAGAGAACUUCAGCAGAGUGACAUUUUGGUCAUGAAGCCCAAACGCACUGGCUCUCAACUGCAUCUCUUCUCUGGGGCCUUGGGGUCGGGGCGACUCCUCGUGCUACAGCAGCUGCAGGAAGCGCUGAGUGACAUCACCUCCCCCUAAGCCAAGAAGCCUCCACAAGGUCAGGCCUGGAGGAGCUGUCUUUAGGCAGAGAACACACAAACAAUCUACCUCUUUCCGCCCAGGGGAAUGAGCUCACAGCUCCGGGGAGCACAGCUCUACACGUGUGCCAGGUGGUGACAGGGUUAGUGUGCUAGCACUUCUGACACCCUGCAGGUGCUUCAUUCAUGGGACACCACCCAGUCUGUACCAGAUGGUGGGGUGGGAGAUGGACACCCAGCUCCAGACCUUCCCUCGCUUUAAGUUAUAAGGCCUUUGGGAGACAGACUCGCCCAUUUUCUUGGACUGGGUUGUAUGGAUGUUUGCCCAAUCAGAAUGGGAUAGAUAACUGGAGUAGGGUGGGGAUGGAGAAGAGGUUCUCGAGAGAUUACUCUACAAAUAAAAAUUCCUGGCAAUUGCCUCUCACUUCUAUCACCAACUGUUAUUCUCUGGGUCAUGGAAAUUCCCGUAUUGCUGGCCAUAUGUGGGGAUACAGUGGAAGAGUUCAAGGAAAGCUGAUUGGCUCACCGAUUGGUGAGCAGAGCUAUAUAGAAUGGAAAAGAAGCCCCCACAAUGAGUUGGACAACCUGACCCUAACCUGGGCUCCCCUAUUCUCUACCCUGCUUUUACCAAAGUCAAGAGGCAAAGAGUUCAAAUCCACCCAUAUUUUAGUUCCACGAUAAAUGAGCUCUUGUUGAUGUACAACUCCUAAUACAAUUGGCCUGACCGUACCCUGCUUUCUCAUCACAGAUGGGAAAUGGGCAUGAAUCAAACCAAUGUAUGUCUUUGAAUGCUUCAGAAGAAAAGGUUCCAGUUGGAUGCCCAUGUUUCAAUUCCCUGUAAUUUCCUUAUUUGAAUCUGUUGAGGGCUCAGAAUUUCUGUGUCAAGAGGUGUGCGUUUAUCUGCCUGACGAGAUGAGGUCUCAGGGACCCCCACGUAAGUACCAUAGAAAGACGUACCCUAAAAGGAAGAAUUCCCUUCAAACCUUGAAUACCAGCUAAUCUAAUGACUGAGGCUGGCUGAGGUGGCUUGCUAAGGAAACGAGACGAGGAAGAUGGAAGGGGAGAGAAACAAGGUCAAGUGGAAAGAGGGAGGAAGGAAGAAAGCGAAGGAGGGAGGCAAGGAGAAAAUUGAGCAUGUCAGGGGCCCACUGGGUUUUAUAAAUAAGUCAUGGAAAUAAUGAAACCUCGUUGUUCUGAAAGUGAAAGAGAAUGAAAAAGUCUCCACUGCGCCCCGCUGAUUCGUGCCCUGGUCCAACCAACCUCAAAACUGAGGAGAAGGGGCUGCCAUCUGGGCUUCAGCCUGCAGUCCCGAGGGUCUGUGGGUCAGGGCUGCACCCCAAGUGUGGCUGCUCUGAGGGGCCCCUGGAGGACCCACUGUGUGAGUUCAAAUCACUCCUGC